GCACCACAAUGGCAACCAGAGCCACAGCUUGACAAUGCCAGUUUCUUAACCUGCUGAGCCACCAAGGAUCUUCUGUUGGUGUUAAUUUUAAAUAAAAAGUAUUAUUCUGUGUAGGCCUCCUGGCAUAUUGCUAUUAUUAUUAUAUGCUAGAGAUAUUCCCAUGCAGAUAUGUUUAUACUUUUUAGUGACUUCCUGGUAUUCAACCGUAUGGAUACAAUGACAUUUAUUUAAUAUCUUAUAGGCAGACCAAGCUAUAAUGACUAUCCUUAACAUCCUCAUAAAAAGAAGCUCCCAAGAUGAUGUAUAACUGGAUAAAUUGCUAGCAGUUAAAUUGUUCAAAGAUUAUACACAUUUUAGCUACUGAAGAAACUUCCAAAUUCUUUCCAACAAUGUUAGGAUCAUUUAAACUUCCCAUCAAUGGUAUGAGAAACUACCAAUUUUCCCAUACUUUCUAUGUAUUAAGAUAUAUUUUUUACCUAUGGCCUGACAAUAGGAUAUCUUUCUAAAAUAUUACACAGGCAUACCACAUUUUAUUGUGCUUCAGCUUAUAACACUUCUUACAAAGUGAAGGGUUUGUGGCAACCUUAUAUUAAGCAAGUCUAUUGGUACCAUUUUUUCAACAGCAUUAUUAUUAUUAUUAUUAUUAUUAUUAUUUAUUUUAUUUAUUUGUUUUUUGUCUUUUUGCCAUUUCUUGGGCCGCUCCCACAGCAUAUGGAGGUUCCCAGGCUAGGGGUCCAAUAGGAGCUAUAGCCACCAGCCUACGCCAGAGCCACAGCAACGUGGGAUCCAAGCCGCGUCUGCGACCUAUACCACAGCUCAUGGCAACGCUGGAUCCUUAACCCACUGAGCAAGGCCAGGGACCGAACCCGCAAUCUCAUGGUUCCUAGUUGGAUUCGUUAACCAUGAAAAACGACAGGAACUCCUCAACAGCAUUAUUUUUAAAUUAAGGUACAUAUGUUGUUUUUUAAGAUAUAAUAUUAUCACACACUUAACAGGUUGCAGUGUAAUCCAUGAUGGAAAUGUGACUUAUAAAUACCUGUCAAUACUGUUUUCAUUUAAUGGUGCCACCACUGGAUACUGGAUGCCUGCCUAUAUUGCUAAUAAAGGUUCUCGAGAGAAGAGUUCCAAAAUGGAGCCAAGAUUAUGAAUAUUUGAUAAGGAGUCAUUAUCAGCGAAAGCCCGUGCAUUCUCAGAAUUUAUUUCAGACAAACUUAAUAGAAAAGGUUUUGGAGAAGGAGACUUAAGAUCUUAUCGGAUUAAGCGCCUUCUCAUUUAACAUUUCAAGUCAUGCUUAUGACAGAUGUCAAAUGACAGACUUGAAAAGAGAGGUCUUCAGGGGUUCAAGGCAGAGACUAAUUGAACUUUCUCCAAGCAGACAUACAUAGUUAAGCACCACCGCAAUCCUCUUUAUAAUUACGGAGCAGCGCUGAAAUCUUAGGAAAGCAUGUUGGCAUCAGUGUCCUCAGGCAGUUAUUUGAAACUAACUCAAGACAAAGGAAAGUGUCUAUUGGUAAUUUACACCAUUACAUUGAUUUUUUUCAGUUAUAAUCCAACCUCCAAUUGAGAUCUGAAAUUAAUAAAAUGUUUUCAUAAACAUAUAAAAACAAUAAAAAUAUUCCGUGGUGCUAAAUAAUUUACUGUAUUAUUUAUCAUGUUAUUUAUGAUUAUGUUUAUUUCGGUAAGUAUUAUCAUUAUUUAUGUUGUUUAUUAUUAUUUAUAUGUUAGGAGAAUUUGGGAGAAUCCUUGUAUGUUGGGAUAAAUAUUUCCAUGACAAGGUACAUUCAGGAAAUACUUGAUUUAAUGAAAUUGAGGAUUUUGUUUUUCCAAUAAGACUUUUGGUAGAGAUUUCUAAAGAGAACACUCUAUGAGCUUUCAAGAGUAAGACACAGUUGCAGCACUUUGCAAACUUAGCAGACCAAGGAAUGUUUCUCCCCCCAAAAUCUUCACUCAUGUCCUAAGUAACAGCACUGUUAGUUUCAACAGUGACCUAGACAGGUGCCCAUGCCCCAGGAUGGGACCUGUCUUGUUCUUUCCCUGCUGCUCCCACUUUCCUUGGCACAUGGUGGAAACUAACUAGAUAUGUGGUAAACGAAUCACUCAGCAUCACAAAGAAACUGAGGUUUUAAAUGUACCCUGCAUUUGUAAACUCACAGCAUUCACUGCAUUCUCUUCCUCACCAGGCACAUGGAGCUUCUGGAGAGUACCUUGCAAUGCCUGCUAACAGGGGCACCAGCCGUUUAACAGGCCUAGAACCUACCUUCCCAGGCCCUCCCCCCAAACAGCUGAAAGGUGGGUACUAUUUAGUGUAUAAGUAAUGCAGUGCACAACUGAGAAUAUGUUUAGCACAACUCAUUUUUUAAUGACCCCCCCAAAUGCUCACAAUAUCAAAAAAAGAGAGCAGGACACCAAACUGAACAUACAUAUUGGACUCCAAGUUUGUAAUAACCACAGACUUGUCUACACACACACACAUUCACACGCAUCUGUGUAAACGGAAAAGAAAUUCUUGAAAGAAAUGCCUAAAAAAGUGAUUUUCUUUAUCUCAGUGACUGAUUCUCUGUAUUUCCACUUUAUACAUGUUGACAAAUAACUACAUUAAUAGUCAACAGUUAUUCAUUUCUUAAAAUUAUAGUUGGGAGUUCCUGUCGUGGCUCAGCAGAAAUGAAUCUGACUGGCAUCCACGAGGACAUAGGUUCGAUCCCUGGACUCGAUCAGUGGGUUAAGGAUCCGGCAUUGCUGUGAGCUGUGGUGUAGAUCACAAACAUGGCUUAGAUCUCGGGUUGCUGUGGCUGUGGUGUAAGCUGGCAGCUGUUCCUAGCCUGGGAACUUCCAUAUAUCACAGGUGCAGCCC
rnacentral:lncRNA from 1 species